GGGAUAACACUUGGAAACAGGUGCUAAUACCGUAUAACACUAUUUCCGCAUGGAAGAAAGUUGAAAGGCGCUUUUGCGUCACUGAUGGAUGGACCCGCGGUGCAUUAGCUAGUUGGUGAGGUAACGGCUCACCAAGGCCACGAUGCAUAGCCGACCUGAGAGGGUGAUCGGCCACACUGGGACUGAGACACGGCCCAGACUCCUACGGGAGGCAGCAGUAGGGAAUCUUCGGCAAUGGACGAAAGUCUGACCGAGCAACGCCGCGUGAGUGAAGAAGGUUUUCGGAUCGUAAAACUCUGUUGUUAGAGAAGAACAAGGAUGAGAGUAAAAUGUUCAUCCCUUGACGGUAUCUAACCAGAAAGCCACGGCUAACUACGUGCCAGCAGCCGCGGUAAUACGUAGGUGGCAAGCGUUGUCCGGAUUUAUUGGGCGUAAAGCGAGCGCAGGCGGUUUCUUAAGUCUGAUGUGAAAGCCCCCGGCUCAACCGGGGAGGGUCAUUGGAAACUGGGAGACUUGAGUGCAGAAGAGGAGAGUGGAAUUCCAUGUGUAGCGGUGAAAUGCGUAGAUAUAUGGAGGAACACCAGUGGCGAAGGCGGCUCUCUGGUCUGUAACUGACGCUGAGGCUCGAAAGCGUGGGGAGCGAACAGGAUUAGAUACCCUGGUAGUCCACGCCGUAAACGAUGAGUGCUAAGUGUUGG
rnacentral:rRNA from 1 species